UCCCGGUCGGCGCACGACGGAAGGUCGUA
rnacentral:sRNA from 1 species